rnacentral:rRNA from 1 species
AGCGAACGCUGGCGGCAGGCUUAACACAUGCAAGUCGAGCGGGCCCUUCGGGGUCAGCGGCAGACGGGUGAGUAACACGUGGGAACGUACCCUUUGGUUCGGAAUAACGCUGGGAAACUAGCGCUAAUACCGGAUACGCCCUUUUGGGGAAAGGCUUGCUGCCGAAGGAUCGGCCCGCGUCUGAUUAGCUAGUUGGUGGGGUAAUGGCCUACCAAGGCGACGAUCAGUAGCUGGUCUGAGAGGAUGAUCAGCCACACUGGGACUGAGACACGGCCCAGACUCCUACGGGAGGCAGCAGUGGGGAAUAUUGGACAAUGGGCGCAAGCCUGAUCCAGCCAUGCCGCGUGAGUGAUGAAGGCCUUAGGGUUGUAAAGCUCUUUUGUCCGGGACGAUAAUGACGGUACCGGAAGAAUAAGCCCCGGCUAACUUCGUGC